GAAGACUCAUUAUUGAAGAUUACAUUCAAACCAAUCACUCAGAAGCAGAAAACAGAGGAAACACACCAAAAAGCAAAACAGAGUUGAUGAGAAUUGGGCAAUUAGGUCAUCGCCACUUUUAUUGUUUGUGAGAGAAUUGAGGCAAUUAGGUCAUCGCCACUUUUAUUCAAAUCUUCUGAUUCACUUAAAGAACCUUUUGAGCAGAAGGCCUAGAAGUGAUGUCAGCAACCCAAGCACUGACAUGUGGACGCUCGUCGAAGAGUUUCUUAGUUGGAGUUCCAAGUAAGUACUGAAUCACAGGGAUAGUGUGAAGAUCGACCAAAGUGAAGUGAUCAGCAG
rnacentral:lncRNA from 1 species